rnacentral:misc_RNA from 1 species
UUCAUUCCAUAUUUAAAUCAGACACAGGCUUCAUCGGGCAUGGAUGCGGCGCACGAGGCGCCGAAGCACGCUUGACGGUCCACGUUUUUGAGUCGGGGCGUCCUGAGACGCCCUGGCACGAUAAUGAUCCCUCCGCAGGUUCACCUACGGAGA